UACGAAGGGGGCUAGCGUUGCUCGGAAUUACUGGGCGUAAAGGGCGCGUAGGCGGCACUGUUAGUCAGGCGUGAAAGUCCUGGGCUCAACCUGGGAACUGCGCUUGAUACGGCAGAGCUAGAGGAUGGAAGAGGGUCGUGGAAUUCCCAGUGUAGAGGUGAAAUUCGUAGAUAUUGGGAAGAACACCGGUGGCGAAGGCGGCGACCUGGUCCGAUACUGACGCUGAGGCGCGAAAGCGUGGGGAGCAAACAGG
rnacentral:rRNA from 1 species